rnacentral:lncRNA from 1 species
UUUUAAUGUUUUUCGUAUUUCGCGCAAGGCGCUACCAUUUGAUAUUGGUGAGCGGAACACCUGUCCAUAAGAGGUUAAACAUUUCACUUUUAAUUUCGGUGCUUUUUUUCAGGAGACAACAUGUAAGUAUAUUAUUUUGUAUACAUAUUGCAUAUUUCCCAUCACCUAAUGAACAACCACAAUACCAGUCUGGUGUUAAGCUUUCUGUGCUGUAUUGAUGUAUCCUGAAAAUGACAUCUGCUGCUUUAGAUUGAACGGUCAUGUCUCAGUUAUUGUUUACAUAUCUACAAAAAAUAAGCUAUUUUCUUUACUUUCAGAGUGUGAGCUGAUCAAGGGGUCGAAAAUGUAGAUAUUGCCAGAUGUUCAAUGUCCGAGGAACAGGCCGUGGAAGCUUUUUUGCUGGCAAGUGUCCAUAACCAGAGGUUAUAUCAGAUGUGUUGGUGAUCCCCUACCGCAUCUGAACUGGCUGACACAGACGGCACAGCAUGAUCAUAGGUAUGUUUUGAUGUGAAAGAGGAAGCCAGUCCCGUCAUCGCAACCUCACCCGCUCUUAAGAUAACCUUCCGGCCAACUGGGGGCCCAAGGCUGGUUAGGAGACACCACUAGAGACACUGUAAUUGUGAUGAACUGAGAGAAUAUUAGG